AGAAAUCAGUUCAGCACUAAGUCACUUUGUCUAUAUGGCAAAUGUGAGAUGCAGUGUAUGGAGCGUCAAUAUUCUAGUAUGAGAAAUUAACGAUUUAAGUCCUUCUUAAAUGAGGCCAUUUACCCAUAGAGGGUGCCAGGCCCGUAUAACGUUAAUGAUUACUAGAUGAUGUUUCCAAAGAGUCGUGUUGCUUGAUAGUGCAGCACUAAGUGGGUGGUAAACUCCAUCUAAAACUAAAUAUAACCAUGAGACCGAUAGUAAACAAGUACCGUGAGGGAAAGUUGAAAAGAACUCUGAAUAGAGAGUUAAACAGUACGUGAAACUGCUUAGAGGUUAAGCCCGAUGAACCUGAAUAUCCGUUAUGGAAAAUUCAUCAUUAAAGUUGUAAUAUUUUAACAAUAUUAUAAUAAUAGUGUGCAUUUUUUCCAUAUAAGGACAUUGUAAUUUAUUAGCAUAUACCAAAUUUAUCAUAAAAUAUGGCUUAUAGUUUAUUCAAAUUAUUAUGCUUGCAUUUUAACAUAGAAUAAAUGUCAUUAAUUUGAUAAAGUGUUGAUAAAUUAAAAUUAAUACAGUGCGUUAAUUUUUCGAAAUUAUAUAAUGGCAUAAUUAUCAUCGAUUUUUGUGUUUAUUAUAUGCAUUUGUAUGAUUAA
rnacentral:rRNA from 1 species